AUUGAACGCUGGCGGCAUGCCUUACACAUGCAAGUCGAACGGUAACGGGCCUUCGGGUGCCGACGAGUGGCGAACGGGUGAGUAAUAUAUCGGAACGUACCUUUCAGUGGGGGAUAACGUAGCGAAAGUUACGCUAAUACCGCAUAUUCUGUGCGCAAGAAAGCAGGGGACCUUCGGGCCUUGCGCUGAUGGAGCGGCCGAUAUCAGAUUAGCUAGUUGGUGAGGUAAAGGCUCACCAAGGCGACGAGCUGUAGCGGGUCUGAGAGGAUGAUCCGCCACACUGGAACUGAGACACGGUCCAGACUCCUACGGGAGGCAGCAGUGGGGAAUUUUGGACAAUGGGGGCAACCCUGAUCCAGCCAUGCCGCGUGAGUGAAGAAGGCCUUCGGGUUGUAAAGCUCUUUCGGCCGGGAAGAAAUCGUAUGGGCUAAUACCCUGUGCGGAUGACGGUACCGGCAUAAGAAGCACCGGCUAACUACGUGCCAGCCGCCGCAGUAAAAC
rnacentral:rRNA from 1 species